AACGAACGCUGGCGGCAUGCCUAACACAUGCAAGUCGAACGAGACCUUCGGGUCUAGUGGCGCACGGGUGCGUAACGCGUGGGAACCUGCCCUUAGGUUCGGAAUAACUCCCCGAAAGGGGUGCUAAUACCGGAUAAUUUCUUCGGACCAAAGAUUUAUCGCCUUUGGAUGGGCCCGCGUUGGAUUAGCUAGUUGGUAGGGUAAAAGCCUACCAAGGCGACGAUCCAUAGCUGGUCUGAGAGGAUGAUCAGCCACACUGGGACUGAGACACGGCCCAGACUCCUACGGGAGGCAGCAGUGGGGAAUAUUGGACAAUGGGCGAAAGCCUGAUCCAGCAAUGCCGCGUGAGUGAUGAAGGCCUUAGGGUUGUAAAGCUCUUUUACCAGGGAUGAUAAUGACAGUACCGGGAGAAUAAGCUCCGGCUAACUCCGUG
rnacentral:rRNA from 1 species